AGUGAACGCUGGCGGUAGGCCUAACACAUGCAAGUCGAACGGCAGCACAGUAAGAGCUUGCUCUUACGGGUGGCGAGUGGCGGACGGGUGAGGAAUACAUCGGAAUCUACUUUUUCGUGGGGGAUAACGUAGGGAAACUUACGCUAAUACCGCAUACGACCUACGGGUGAAAGCAGGGGAUCUUCGGACCUUGCGCGAUUGAAUGAGCCGAUGUCGGAUUAGCUAGUUGGCGGGGUAAAGGCCCACCAAGGCGACGAUCCGUAGCUGGUCUGAGAGGAUGAUCAGCCACAAUGGAAAUGAGACACGGUCCAGCCCCCUACGGGGGGCAGCAGUGGGGAUUAUUGAACAAGGGGGGAAAGCCUGAUCCAGCCAUACCGGGGGGGGAAAGAAGGCCUUCGGGUUGUAAAGCCCUUUUUUGGGAAAAAAAAAGCAGCAGGUUAAUACCCCGCUGUUCUGACGGUACCCAAAAAAUAAGCACCGGCUAACUUCG
rnacentral:rRNA from 1 species